rnacentral:tRNA from 1 species
AGGAACUUAGGAUAAUUAAACCCUGAGCCUUCAAAGCUCAACAUAGAAGUUAAACUCUUCUAGUUUCUG